CUACGGGUUGCUGCAGUGAGGAAUAUUGCACAAUGGGGUAAACCCUGAUGCAGCAACGCCGCGUGGAGGAUGACGCAUUUCGGUGUGUAAACUCCUUUUAUCAGAGGAGAAAAUGACGGUAUCUGAUGAAUAAGCUCCGGCUAACUCCGUGCCAGCAGCCGCGGUAAUACGGAGGGAGCAAGCGUUAUUCGGAAUCACUGGGCGUAAAGGACGCGUAGGCGGGUUUUUAAGUCAGGUGUGAAAUCCUAUGGCUCAACCAUAGAACUGCACUUGAAACUGGGGACCUAGAGUAUGGAAGGGGCAGGGGGAAUUAGUGGUGUAGGGGUAAUAUCCGUAGAUAUCACUAGGAAUACCGAAAGCGAAGGCGACCUGCUGGGACAUUACUGACGCUGAGGCGUGAAAGCGUGGGGAGCAAACAGGAUUAGAUACCCUGGUAGUC
rnacentral:rRNA from 1 species